rnacentral:sRNA from 1 species
UGGGAGCUUCGGCGCAAGUGAAA